rnacentral:rRNA from 1 species
CUACACGAGUUUGAUCAUGGCUCAGGAUCAACGGCUGGCGGCGUGCCUAAUGCAUGCAAGUCGAACGGGCCGCUUUCGGGCGGCUUACGUGGCGGACGGGUGAGGAACACGUGGGCAAUCUGGCCCGAGGUGGGGGUAGCCCUCGGAAACGGGGGGUAAUUCCGCAUGGGUCCAUCUCCUGGUGGGGGAGGUGGGCAAAGGGACUUCGGUCUCGCCUUGGGGGGAGCCUGCGGCCGAUUAGCUAGUAGGUGGGGUAACGGCUCACCUAGGCGACGAUCCCUAGCUGGUCUGAGAGGAUGACCAGCCACACUGGAACUGAGACACGGUCCAGACUCCUACGGGAGGCAGCAGUGGGGAAUAUUGCACAAUGGGCGCAAGCCUGAUGCAGCCAUGCCGCGUGUAUGAAGAAGGCCUUCGGGUUGUAAAGUACUUUCAGCGGGGAGGAAGGGAGUAAAGUUAAUACCUUUGCUCAUUGACGUUACCCGCAGAAGAAGCACCGGCUAACUCCGUG